rnacentral:rRNA from 1 species
AUACGGAGGGUGCAAGCGUUAUCCGGAAUCAUUGGGUUUAAAGGGUCCGUAGGCGGACUAAUAAGUCAGGGGUGAAAUCCCACAGCUUAACUGUGGAACUGCCUUUGAUACUGUUAGUCUUGAGUUAUAUGGAAGUAGAUAGAAUGUGUAGUGUAGCGGUGAAAUGCUUAGAGAUUACACAGAAUACCGAUUGCGAAGGCAGUCUACUACGUAUAUACUGACGCUAAAAGACGAAAGCGUGGGGAGCGAACAGGAUUAGAUACCCUAGUAGUCC